AUGAACGCUGGCGGCGUGCCUAAUACCUGCCAGUCGCGCGAACAGACGAGGAGCUUGCUCCUCUGACGUUAGCGGCGGACGGGUGAGUAACACGUGGAUAACCUACCUAUAAGACUGGGAUAACUUCGGGAAACCGGAGCUAAUACCGGAUAAUAUAUUGAACCGCUUGGUUCAAUAGUGAAAGACGGUUUUGCUGUCACUUAUAGAUGGAUCCGCGCCGCAUUAGCUAGUUGGUAAGGUAACGGCUUACCAAGGCAACGAUGCGUAGCCGACCUGAGAGGGUGAUCGGCCACACUGGAACUGAGACACGGUCCAGACUCCUACGGGAGGCAGCAGUAGGGAAUCUUCCGCAAUGGGCGAAAGCCUGACGGAGCAACGCCGCGUGAGUGAUGAAGGUCUUCGGAUCGUAAAACUCUGUUAUUAGGGAAGAACAAAUGUGUAAGUAACUAUGCACGUCUUGACGGUACCUAAUCAGAAAGCCACGGCUAACUACGUG
rnacentral:rRNA from 1 species